rnacentral:snoRNA from 1 species
AAAAUUAUACAUGAUGAUGAGAUGGUCCACUUUAUUUUGAAUGGUCUUGACUUUGACUACAAUACUUUUGUGUCAUCUAUGCUAGGUGGUGUUGGUUUUCUCUCCUUGAGUGACCUGUAUUCUCAGUUACUCACAUAUGAUC